UGUGUUGUCUGGAAAUGAAGGAGAACCCUCUGAUGCAGGAGUUUCCCAGGCCUGAAUUCCCAGGAUUUAAGCAAAAGGAUUUCUGGGCACCAUAACAAGCCAUAGAAUCAAGAGGAUGGAAAAGACCUCCAAGAUCAUCGAGUCCAACUGCAGUGUGGACAUUCUGCUUUUCCUAAGGAGUGAAACUCCUCACAGGGCUCUGCACUCUGCAGUGACUGAUGUGACUCGUUGUGGGUCUCAGUGCAACAACCACAGCUCUGAUUUAUGGAAUGAGACUCAAG